rnacentral:rRNA from 1 species
UACGUAGGGUGCAAGCGUUAAUCGGAAUUACUGGGCGUAAAGCGUGCGCAGGCGGCUUUGCAAGACAGAUGUGAAAUCCCCGGGCUUAACCUGGGAACUGCAUUUGUGACUGCAUGGCUAGAGUGCGGAAGAGGGGGAUGGAAUUCCGCGUGUAGCAGUGAAAUGCGUAGAUAUGCGGAGGAACACCGAUGGCGAAGGCAAUCCCCUGGGCCUGCACUGACGCUCAUGCACGAAAGCGUGGGGAGCAAACAGG